rnacentral:rRNA from 1 species
GACGAACGCUGGCGGCGUGCCUAAUACAUGCAAGUAGAACGCUGAAGCGAGGAGCUUGCUCUUCUUGGAUGAGUUGCGAACGGGUGAGUAACGCGUAGGUAACCUGCCUUGUAGCGGGGGAUAACUAUUGGAAACGAUAGCUAAUACCGCAUAACAAUGGAUGACACAUGUCCUUUAUUUGAAAGGGGCAAUUGCUCCACUACAAGAUGGACCUGCGUUGUAUUAGCUAGUAGGUGAGGUAACGGCUCACCUAGGCGACGAUACAUAGCCGACCUGAGAGGGUGAGCGGCCACCCUGGGAAUGAGACACGGCCCAGAGUCCUACGGGAGGCAGCAGUAGGGAAUCUUCGGCAAUGGGGGCAACCCUGACCGAGCAACGCCGCGUGAGUGAAGAAGGUUUUCGGAUCGUAAAGCUCUGUUGUAAGUCAAGAACGAGUGUGAGAGUGGAAAGUUCACACUGUGACGGUAGCUUACCAGAAAGGGACGGCUAACUACGUG